AAGCACAAUGAAAAGGAAAGUCAGAAAGAAGAAAAAGAAGGGAACCAUUACAGCAAAUGUUGCCGGGACAAAGUUUGAAAUUGUUCGUUUAGUAAUAGAUGAAAUGGGAUUUAUGAAAACUCCAGAUGAGGAUGAAACAAGUAAUCUUAUAUGGUGUGAUUCUGCUGUUCAGCAGGAGAAAAUUUCAGAGCUGCAAAAUUAUCAGGUAGGAAAUUAAUCAUGACCAGUUAGUGGUAUAAGGAAAGUUAUAUGGAUUCCACCAUAACUUUUUUAGAUAGGUUCUUAAUCUGUUGCCUUAUUACAUUUCAGUUCUUACUCACCUGAAUAGCCUGUUUCGUUGCUAUCCAGUUGUAUUGGCUCUUUGCAUGAAGCCUGCAUCUUUUGCAGCUUAAGUUUUAACCUCUUUCUAUCUUUAGGGAAGAAUCAAUAGAAAAAACCUCUUCUGGCUGGGCGCCGUGGCUGACACCUGUAAUCCCAGCAUUUUGGGAGGCCAAGGCGGGUGGAUCACGAGGUCAAGAGAUUGAGACCUUCCUGGCCAACAUAGUGAAACCCCGUCUCUACUAAAAAUACAAAAAUUAGCUGGGUAUGGUGGCACACGCCUGUAGGCCCAGCUACUCAGGAGGCUGAGGCAGGAGAAUUGCUUAAACCUGGGAGGUGGAGGCUGCAGUGAGCUGAGAUCGGGCCACUGCGCUACAGCUUGGUGACAGCAAGACUCCAUCUCAAAAAACAAACAACAACCAAAAAAAA
rnacentral:sRNA from 1 species